GCACUUUAAACAGCAAACCAUGCUGCCACGUUGCCUCGUUCGACCCAAACAGACACCCUUCUAUCACGUAACGUUGAUCCAAUCGACAAGCGGGUAUGCAAGAUUGUACGAUUCUUUCCACCGAACGAUGCAAUAAAGGGCGGAAAAGAUCAAACGAAAAAGAGGAGGGAAUUUAUUGAAGCAAAUAAGGAAGGAGAAGGCGGCAUCACUCCUGCGUCUGGGGAUUUCCUCGCCUGCGCUAGUGACGGAUUUGCUCGUCUCCGAUCCCACCUUAGCCUCGGUUCUACAACUCGCGUUUCGCGGUGAUCUUCUUCACCUCGACCUGCUGCCCUACUGGUAUUUGUCCAAGGAAACCUGGUUGGAGCACCAAACUUGAUCGCUCAGGUGAUUCUGAUGAUUUGAAAGUACAGCCAGUUAGUUUUCGAGUUCCAAUCAGCAUCAGAACUUGAACAGAGAAGGCUUCCUGACGCCAAGAAUGACAUCGGGAUGAAUGGAAGAAACACAAGUGUCUCCUUGUACAUCAAAAUAAAAGAGAUCUUCGCUGAAGAGCAAUGUUGUCAAGAAGAAACCUCAAGCAACCGAGCAGUUCCCUGAAGGGAAAGCAAGACAAGGUCGAUGUUGUUGAAGUGGAUGACUUGUGGAUAAGCUUGAAAGGUUAACGAUGGUGAAAGAUGUACUUGGUGAGGAGCAGAGAAACUGUGAAAUGACUAGGGGAAGGAGUUGCAAGCAACAAAGGUUAUUGGAACAGGGUGAAAUCUCUUGAUUGAGCAAGCUAAAAGAAGAGGUUUGCUUGAGGAUUACAACAGGAUGAAAACAAGUUAUGAAGAAUUAGAUCUGAUCCAGAUAACAUCUUAGGGAGUGAGCAUCUAUUGGGCAUUUGCUUCAGGUAACGUUGAAGUAUUGAUCAAGACUAAAGGAGAUGAGGGUUUCAGUUUACUUCAGGAAUACACAAGAGUUAACAAUUGUUUGACAUGCAUAGAUUCUGAAGAAGAUAUCUCAACAUUGGUUCCAAGUUCAACACAGAUGAGCUGACUGCUGGGGGUGUUUCUCUUGGAAUCCUGAGGUCGAUCAAAGAUCUCAAUCUAGUUAAGAGUUUGAACCAUGUUCCGCACAUCACUUGUUCAUCCUGUUUCCUUCCCACGAAGAAGCUCAAUAAAUACAUUACAAUGUAUGGAUUUCAACGAUUAUGAUGAUGAAACAAAAGACAUUAACAGCAAAACCAUUCAACACAAGCAUCAUAUUUCUUUUCUAGGUCCAACAGAUGAGGGAUUUGAUGAGGAAGAACUGUGUAUCAGAAAUGCAAGAAAUUAUAUGAUGCAGUUCCAAAUCAUAUGAACAACAUCAAUUAUGGUGUGUCUUGAAUGUGCAUCAGAAAUGCAAGGCAUUGUUAUAGGCACACCCCUCCAAUGACACCUGAAAAAUUCUGGAAAAUUAGGCUCGAUCUG